UGCAUCGGCAGGCAGACUCUCAACCACUGCGCCACCAGAGAAACCCCUUAGCUUUAUUUUUAAAAUGUCAUGAGUAUAAAAAGAAUAUCCAUUUACAUAAAGUUCAAAAUUACCUGCGGUGUUAGAAGUCAGGAUAGUGGUUGGCAUUGGAGAGAAGGGUGGGAUAUUGAUCAGGAGACCCCCGGGGGAUAUGGGGGCCUGGUCCUUUGUGGUUUUUGAUUUUAUGGUGAUCACACAGGUGUACUCACUCUGUGGGCAUUCAUCAAACCAUACAGGUGUGAAUUGUGCGCUCCUCUAUAUGUGAAUAGUAAACAGAAACCAAUUUGCAAUGAUCAGAAAGCCCUUUAUAAAAGUCUCUUCUUUUCUUUUCUCCCUGAGCAGAGAGAACAGAAGAGCAUAUAAUUUAAUUCAUUCAGCAAACUGGUUUUGUGAGAAGCUUUUAGGUACAAAGCAUUGUACUCUGUAGAGUACAGGGCAUUAGGGCUCUGGAGACAAAGAUGAAGCAGACACAGCCCCUGCCCACAAAGAACUUACAGAUCAGUGAAGGAUGAACAUGUAUCAGAUAUCACUGUAUACCAGGGGAAAAUGUCCUGGGGUACUAAGAGGGGUCAGGCAGCUGGUUUUCAUGAAAAGCCAUUUGAAUAGCAUUUCAUAUAUUCAAGAAUCAUACGUAAUCUUCGUGAAUUUAUAGUUAGUGAAUGACGUUGUUUUACUACUCAUACAAUGAAGAGCUUCUUAGAUUCUAUUUUUGUCUCAUUUUGUGACAAGAUCAUGAAGAAAUUUAUACAUACAUAAUAAGAGAUAUGUGAUUGUUGUUACUGAAGAUAUUAAAAUAAUAUAUACUUUAUAACAUUUUUUCAAAGAUCUAACUUGAAAAUAUUUCCAACAGGGGAAUGCCUGGGGAAUUCAUUAUAAGGCAACUUUUGAAUAUAUAGAUGAAAUUUUUAAAUGAAAAUCAAUCCAAAAGCUAAUGAACAGGUAAGCAAACUGUGGUAUAUCCAUACAACUGGAUGUUAUUCAGCCACAAAAGGGAAUGAAGUAGUAACACAUGCUACAACGUGGAUGAACCUUGGAAACAUUGUGCUAAAGGUAAGAAGAUACAAAAGAGCACAUCUUGUAUAAUUCCAUUUAUAUUAAAUAUGAAGAAUAGUCAAAUUCAUAGAGACGGAAUGUAGAUUAGUGGUCUCCAGGGGCUGGGGGAAGGGAGGCAUGGUGAGUGACCGCUUAUAGGUACAGGGUAUAUUUGGGGGUCGUGUUUCGGGUGAUGAAAAUGUUCUGGAAUUAGAUAGUGGUAAUGGUUGCUUGACCUUAUGAAUACUAAAACCCACUGAACUGUACACUUUAAAAUGGUGAAUCUCAUGUGAAUUAUAUCUCAAUAAAAUAUAUAGAAGGCAAUUUUCAAACAUACAGAUUGAAAUUCUGAAAUCAUAAAAUUUUUUUCACUGAGAAAUUCUCAGUACCAUUUCAUGAUACAUCUAAUGAAUGAGUACCAAAAAACAUACACGUAAAGAUGAAAAGUUACAAAGAUCAAAAUGGGGGAAUGGGCUUCCAUUUUUGUGAGAAUUAAAUCAGGACCUAAAGCAAACCUUUCACACAGGGCUUCGGAGGGAUCAGGACAUGACCACUUGUGUCUCUACUUCUAAUUCCAAAACAGAAUCGUUCAGGCCUGGGGUACCCACAUCACUGGAUAUUUUAUGAACUCCUGUUUUUCUUAACCUGCUUGACAACAAAAACGCUUUUGCUUACCUCUCUGAUAAGCAGCCCUUUCUCUGAUCCCUGUUGAUAGAAAUUAGACAGUAAUCUGUUCAAAUCAGCGUUUACAGGCAAGAUGAGUUUUCCAGAAGAGAGAAGGAAAGGACUCAAAGCAGCCAAUCAAAGGGCUCUGUGGAGGAAACCCAGGUAGAACCCCAGUAAUAAAUACAUUUAUUGCCUGGACAGUAAAAAGUACUGGAGAGUUUAAAAUAAAUUCAGAGUUAUUUAAACUUAAUUUAUGACCAGGAAAAUAAACCCUCUCUUCCACCAUUAAUGUUUUUUAUCUGGGCCAUCAAAUGUCACACGCUACUGAUUUUGGUUGUAAGGUCACUGGAAACAGCGUAUCAGAGGUGUCAGCACCACAAAUCAAGUGAAAUUCCUUUAAAAAUAAAAAUGUCAAGAGUAAAGUAAUAGGCAAUAGUUACUUCGUGCUAUGAAAGACUUCUAAUAUAUCAAAAGGUUCACCUUUUUUACCUUUAUGGUGUAUCACUUUGAGCGCUAAAUAUACUUCUGCUUAACAGAUAAAGUAAAGAAAACAGGCAUCAGAAUGCCGAUGAUAAUAAGAAUGAUGACAUAUAAUAAAACUAUUUGCAGGCACAGAAACAUUAGAAGGCAGAAGCCUGAAUAUAUCAAAAGACAAACAAUGACCCUGAAUAUAGGGAGAUCUGCUCUCUAGCAUGUCAGUUAUUUUAAGGGGUCACCUUAAAGGUCAACUAAAACAGUGUCUUUGAAAUCAGAAUACAAAUUAUAUUGGGUUUGGGUAAGAAAAAAAUGAACAUCUUAGAGCUAACGUGAUUCUACACAGAGGUCUAAAUCCUGAAGCAAUCCUCUGGUCUUUUAUCUAAGGAUUGAACAAAACAGAAGCAAGUGCCCAUGUGCUGGGAGGAGACGAAAGGUAAAGGAGACUUGGAGCAGACGGAUUCUUCACGAUCCUGAUGUUAAACAACUGACAGGCAGUGGCAUUUGCCAUAAUGCGUCGUUGCUAAAUGCGUGAACUCCUGGCAGGAUGAGGAUACUGAGGCUCAACUCCAAGAGGGAAAUGCUUGAGGACACAGCCAAGAUGAGAGCCUCCACUGUGGUCCCUGGCUCCGGCCAGGCCACUGAUGUGACUGUCACACACAAGCCCCACUUGUGUGAAGCAGCUGUUCCAACUGGGAGGCAGGCUCCCUGGAAUGAUCUCCAGUCCUUGAUUUGAUGUGUAUGUGAUGAUAGCAUUCAAGUUCACUCAAAAGUAAUUGCUGGGACUUCCCUGGUGGCGCAGUGGUUAAGAAUCCUCCUGUUAAUGCAGGGUACAUGGGUUUGAGCCCUGGUCCGGGAAGAUCCCACAUGCAGAGGAGCAACUAAGCCUGUGCCCCACAACUACUGAGCCUGUGCUCUAGAGCCCGCAAGCCACAACUACUGAAGCCCGGGCACCUAUAGCCCAUGCUCCACAACAAGAAAAGACACCUCAAUGAGAAGCCUGCACACCACAAUGAAGAGUACCCCUGGCUCACCACAACUAGAGAAAGCCCGUGUUUAGCAACAAAGACCCAACACACGCAAAAAGGUCUCUUCCUGGCCCAUCGCUUCUGUUUCUUCAGAACCCCACUUCAACACAACCCUCCUAGCCUCAACCCUGCCUUCCCCCUCCAGAUGCAAGUUUACACCUCUCAGCUUUGCUCUGCACUCUCUCCACUUCAGCUCAGCGCCUGAUUCUCCGGAGACAACUUGAUCAGUAUACAAGAAAGUACAAAUACAAAUGCCACAAGAUGCUGUUCUUUUAUUAGCUCAUUGGCCAAAAUUUUUACAAAUGGUAAUAGCCAGUGCUAAAGGGAGAAUGCGAGAUUAGGAAUUCUCACGUAUGUCUGUGGGAGUGUAAAAAUUUUGGAAAUUUAUCUGAUAACAUUUAUGAAAAUUCUUUAAAUGCACAGUCUUUGAGUCAGCAAUCCCACUUUUCAGUAACUCUCUUACAAGCGUGGAAAUCCGUAUAUCCAAGGAUGCUUUUUACAUCAGUGGGGAAUUAUGAAUACAUUAUGGGACAUCCAUCCAAAGAACACUGAUCAGUCCCUGAUAAAUCUGCAUUUCUUGACCUGAAUGUAUUCUAUGCCGCAGACCAGUGUGUAGAGGAUAAGUCCGUAUUAUUGCUAAACAGGCAUACAUUUGGGGGAGGUGAUUUUUAUUUUGUGUAUUUAUUAAUGUUUUUCAUAUAAAGUAAAUUUAAAAUGAAAACAAAAAUAGAUUCUUGAGAGAGGGAAUCUCAUGGGCACAGUUCAUCCUUUUAUAACAGGCAAUGACAAGCCUACGGAUCGGCUGCCCCCGGGUCACGUGAUAACCCCUGGCCCAAUCAGGAGUGGGCAGGAGCGUGAGUUACUAUACGUGGCCGUAGCUGGGCUAUGGUAAGGGCAGCUUCACUUGGAAGGGUUUGUGGGAAUAUAGACAUCAGCUUAGUACUUUCCGCCUCCGCCAAGGACAUAAACUUGGGAAAUGCCUACGUUUCAGGGACAUGUAGAGAGGAGAAGAUUUGAGGAAGGUUAAAAGAGAACUAAAAGAGUGCAAUGCAGAGAGGCAACGGAGCCAGUAGGGGGAGGAAAUUAAAUAAGAGAGAAGAGCAAGCAGUUCAUUGAAUAAACAUUUGCCAAACGACUACAACGUGUGUGCAGCUGUUACUCCAGUGCUGGGGAUGUGGCGUUGAGCAAGGCAGGCAAGAUCCUUACUUUCAGGAGCUUACGAUCUGUCAAGUGAAGGGUAAGGGGGUGAGGGAGGAAUUGACAUUAGUUAGGAGUCAGUUUAGCUGCAAAUGAUGGAAGACCCAACAUAACAAUAGAUUAAGCAAGUUAGAAUCAAACUUCUCUCUCACAUGACACAAGUCCAGAGGGAUGUGACCCAGGGCUCGUAGGGCCACAUCAUGAUGUCAUCAAGGAUCCAGGACUCUGUUAUCUUGGUAGUGUGAUGUCCUUAGCAUGAAGCUUUUACUUCAGAGUCCAAUAUGGCUGUGUAAGUCCUAGCAAUUGCGCCCACAUCCCAGACAAUGAGAAGAAGAGAAAAGGAUAAAAUGAGGGUUCCUCCUCCUUCUUAGGACACUUCUACUUAUAUCUGAUUGGCCAGAACUGAGUUGUGUAGCUACACUUCACUGCCAGGGAGGCUGGGAUAUGCAGUCUUGUUCUGGGGGACCAUGUGCCUCACUGAAAUUUUGGGCUCUGCUACUAGGGAAGAAGGAGAGAAUGGAUAGCAGGGGGUACCCGUCGGUCUCUACCAUAAGAAGGAGUCAGAAAAUAAGCAAACGAAAACAUGACGGAGGAAAAAAUGGUUUGAUGAAUAAAAGCCUAUGUGGGGCUUCCCUGGUGGUGCAGUGGUUGUGAGUCCGCCUGCCGAUGCAGGGGACACGGGUUCGUGCCCCGGUCCGGGAAGAUCCCACAUGCU